CUCUCAUCCAGUACACAUUCCCAGCCUGCUUAGGCAGCAGCUUCUGUGGUCUCCACUUCUGGGGACCAACUCAGGGCUCUGGGGAUGCUGGGCAAACAUCUCCGCCAGGCAGCCAGCCUGGUAGAAACUGACCAGAGCUGGGCACUAACCCAGGCCAGGUUGCUUGGCCACAGAGGAGACGGGGGCACAAGGCUGUGACCUAUUGGUUGGGGCUCACUAAGCCACUCACAAAUAGCCUAGAGGAGACCAGCAGUUCCAUUGUGGGUCCUGGAGCCAGGCUGCUGCCUGAACGUCAAGCAUGGAACAAUAGGACCGCAGACCCUGGGCCUCCACUGCGCUCUCCCACCAAGCUGCACCUGUCCAGCUCCACCUCUGUUCGAUGUCAUUGUCUUUGCCUUCGGUUGUAUUAACUAGAGUACCAGUGACCAGAGAUUCAGUGGCUUCGAUCGCAUCCCAUUACAUCUCCCAGCUCCCACGGGUUCGGAGCCUGGCGCCCUGGGCUGCGCCCCCUUCUCAGCCUCCAGCCAGCCUAAAACCAGCAUCGCCAGACCUGUUCACAUCUGGAGGCCUCACAGCCAGCAAUCUGCUCCAAGCGCACGUGGUCAUGGCAGACUGGGCUCCUCACAGCUGCAGGGCCGAGUGCCAGCUUCUGGCUAGCCACCCUCUACUCCUGGAAGUUUCUGAUGGCCCGGAGCACAGGCUUUCUGACUGAACCUGCUCAUCAUGGCCGAAGGGAGAGUGCAGACAGGGCUCAGUUGUGGGCUGCAAUCCUGGCCACGACAUCCCUGCCAGUGCUACAUCCAUGCAGGGACCCCGGACUGCUCAAUCCCAGGGUGGACACAAAGGCAAAGGUCACAGGGCUCUCCAGGCCCACCAGGUGACCUGUGUUUUUCUAGACACCUUCC
rnacentral:lncRNA from 1 species